AUUGCCCUAGUAACGGCGAGUGAAGCGGCAACAGCUCAAAUUUGAAAUCUGGCGUCUUUGGCGUCCGAGUUGUAAUUUGCAGAGGGCGCUUUGGCAUUGGCAGCGGUCCAAGUUCCUUGGAACAGGACGUCACAGAGGGUGAGAAUCCCGUACGUGGUCGCUAGCCUUUACCGUGUAAAGCCCCUUCGACGAGUCGAGUUGUUUGGGAAUGCAGCUCUAAAUGGGAGGUAAAUUUCUUCUAAAGCUAAAUACUGGCCAGAGACCGAUAGCGCACAAGUAGAGUGAUCGAAAGAUGAAAAGCACUUUGGAAAGAGAGUUAAAAAGCACGUGAAAUUGUUGAAAGGGAAGCGCUUGCAGCCAGACUUGCCUGUAGUUGCUCAUCCAGGUUUCUACCUGGUGCACUCUUCUAUAGGCAGGCCAGCAUCAGUUUGGGCGGUUGGAUAAAGGUCUCUGUCAUGUACCUCUCUUCGGGGAGAACUUAUAGGGGAGACGACAUGCAACCAGCCUGGACUGAGGUCCGCGCAUCUGCUAGGAUGCUGGCGUAAUGGCUGUAAGCGGCCCGUCUUGAAACACGGACCAAGGAGUCUAACAUCUAUGCGAGUGUUUGGGUGUCAAGCCCGAGCGCGUAAUGAAAGUGAACGGAGGUGGGAACCUUUCGGGGUGCACCAUCGACCGAUCCUGAUGUCUUCGGAUGGAUUUGAGUAAGAGCAUAGCUGUUGGGACCCGAAAGAUGGUGAACUAUGCUUGAAUAGGGUGAAGCCAGAGGAAACUCUGGUGGAGGCUCGCAGCGGUUCUGACGUGCAAAUCGAUCGUCAAAUUUGGGCAUAGGGGCGAAAGACUAAUCGA
rnacentral:rRNA from 1 species